AGACUCUGUGCGCGUGCAUAUCAAUAAGCGGAGGAAAAGAAACUAACAAGGAUUCCCUUAGUAACGGCGAGUGAAGCGGGAAGAGCUCAAAUUUGAAAUCUUCAAGGUUCUACCUUGACGAAUUGUAGUUUAUAGAAGUGUUUUCUGUUAGUGGAGUGGCAAAAGUUCUUUGGAAUAGGACAUCAUAGAGGGUGAGAAUCCCGUAUUUGGUCAUUCCUCCUAGCGUUGUGAUACACUUUCAACGAGUCGGAUUGUUUGGGAAUGCAGUCCAAAAUGGGUGGUAAAUUUCAUCUAAAGCUAAAUAUUGGCGAGAGACCGAUAGCGAACAAGUACCGUGAGGGAAAGAUGAAAAGAACUUUGAAAAGAGAGUUAAACAGUACGUGAAAUUGUCAAAAGGGAAGCGUUUGACACCAGUGUUGUUUUUCCGAAAAUCAAUUACGAAUGUUUUGUUUUUAAGGAGUUAUGACUUCAUCGGCUUGCUUCUUUCUUUAUGAAACUUUCUUAAUGCACUUUUCGGUUAACAAGUCAACAUCAAUUUCUUUUGUUGUAAAAGGGUAUGAGGAAGGUGGCUUUCUUUUCGGAGAAAGUGUUUAUAGCCUUGUGCCUCUGCAAUCGGAGAGAUUGAGGUCUGCAGCGUAGAUCCUUCGGGGUUAGAUACGUUUGUGCUAAGUUAUAGCUUUUCAUAGACAACUUGUUGACUAUGUUUAGUCUUGUAGCUUACUCGCUGACGCUAUUUUACCUACGCUUAGGAUGUUGAACUCUAUCACACACAG
rnacentral:rRNA from 1 species